AUACUUACCUGGCAGGGGAGAUACCGUGAUCACAAAGGUGGUUUUUCCAGGGAGAGGCUUAUCCAUUGCACUUCGGAUGUGCUGAACCCUGCGACUUCCCCAAAUGUGCAGAACUCGACUGCAUAAUUUGUGGUAGUGGGAGACUGCAUUCGCGCUUUCACCUG
rnacentral:snRNA from 1 species